rnacentral:rRNA from 1 species
UACGUAGGGGGCAAGCGUUAUCCGGAUUUACUGGGUGUAAAGGGAGCGUAGGUGGCAUGGUAAGCCAGAAGUGAAAACCCGGGGCUCAACCCCGCGGAUUGCUUUUGGAACUACCAGGCUGGAGUGCUGGAGGGGUAAGCGGAAUUCCUAGUGUAGCGGUGAAAUGCGUAGAUAUUAGGAGGAACACCGGUGGCGAAGGCGGCUUACUGGACAGAAACUGACACUGAGGCUCGAAAGCGUGGGGAGCAAACAGG